CCUANGGGAGGCUGCAGUGAGGAAUAUUGGUCAAUGGACGGAAGUCUGAACCAGCCAUCCCGCGUGCAGGAAGAAGGCGCUAUGCGUUGUAAACUGCUUUUCCAGAGGAAGAAAGCCUGCUACGUGUAGUGGUUUGCCGGUACUCUGGGAAUAAGCAUCGGCUAACUCCGUGCCAGCAGCCGCGGUAAUACGGAGGAUGCGAGCGUUAUCCGGAUUUAUUGGGUUUAAAGGGUGCGUAGGCGGACCGAUAAGUCAGUGGUGAAAACCUGCAGCUUAACUGUAGAACUGCCAUUGAUACUGUCGGACUUGAGUGUGGUCAAGGUAGGCGGAAUGUGUAAUGUAGCGGUGAAAUGCUUAGAUAUUACACAGAACACCGAUUGCGAAGGCAGCUUGCUGGACCAUUACUGACGCUGAUGCACGAAAGCGUGGGGAGCAAACAGGAUUAGAUACCCCGNUANUC
rnacentral:rRNA from 1 species